rnacentral:rRNA from 1 species
UCACACAUGCAGUCGAACGAUGAAGGGGGCUUGCUCCUGGAUUAGUGGCGAACGGGUGAGUAACACGUGAGUAACCUGCCCUUGACUCUGGGAUAAGCCUGGGAAACUGGGUCUAAUACCGGAUAUGACUGACUAUCGCAUGGUGGUUGGUGGAAAGCUUUUGUGGUUUUGGAUGGACUCGCGGCCUAUCAGCUUGUUGGUGAGGUAAUGGCUUACCAAGGCGACGACGGGUAGCCGGCCUGAGAGGGUGACCGGCCACACUGGGACUGAGACACGGCCCAGACUCCUACGGGAGGCAGCAGUGGGGAAUAUUGCACAAUGGGCGCAAGCCUGAUGCAGCGACGCCGCGUGAGGGAUGACGGCCUUCGGGUUGUAAACCUCUUUCAGUAGGGAAGAAGCCGCAAGGUGACGGUACCUGCAGAAGAAGCGCCGGCUAACUACGUGCCAGCAGCCGCGGUAAUACGUAGGGCGCAAGCGUUAUCCGGAAUUAUUGGGCGUAAAGAGCUCGUAGGCGGUUUGUCGCGUCUGCCGUGAAAGUCCGGGGCUCAACUCCGGAUCUGCGGUGGGUACGGGCAGACUAGAGUGAUGUAGGGGAGACUGGAAUUCCUGGUGUAGCGGUGAAAUGCGCAGAUAUCAGGAGGAACACCGAUGGCGAAGGCAGGUCUCUGGGCAUUAACUGACGCUGAGGAGCGAAAGCAUGGGGAGCGAACAGGAUUAGAUACCCUGGUAGUCCAUGCCGUAAACGUUGGGCACUAGGUGUGGGGGACAUUCCACGUUUUCCGCGCCGUAGCUAACGCAUUAAGUGCCCCGCCUGGGG